GACGAACGCUGGCGGCGUGCCUAAUACAUGCAAGUAGAACGCAGUUGCGAACGGGUGAGUAACGCGUAGGUAACUGCCUGGUAGCGGGGGAUAACUAUUGGAAACGAUAGCUAAUACCGCCUACUACCAGAUGGACCUGCGUUGUAUUAGCUAGUUGGUGAGGUAACGGCCCAACAAGGCAACGAUACAUAGCCGAACUUGGAGGGUGGUCGGCCAACCUUGGACUGAGACACGGCCCAAGCUCCUAACGGAGGGAGCAGUAGGGGAUCUUCGGCAAUGGGGGGAACCCUGACCAAGCAACGCCGCGUGAGUGAAGAAGGUUUUCGGAUCGUAAAGCUCUGUUGUUAAGGAAGCGGUACUUAACCAGAAAGGGACGGCUAACUACGUGCCAGCAGCCGCGGUAAUAC
rnacentral:rRNA from 1 species